AUGCCUAGAUCCAGCGGUGUGGGAUUUCGAAUCUGUUCCCCAGCCACCAUGGAGGAACGGAGGGGGAGAUUCCUAAACUUAACCACCCUUCGUCAAAGGGGGAGUGAGGUGGGUGGCCUGGCGCAAUUGUUUUGGACCUUGGCAGUCGGGUUAGGUUAUAACGAUGCAGCACUGAAGGCCUUGUUUAAUGAUUGCCUGGAUGACCCUUUGCCUCAAUGGGAGAUGAAGGGGUUGGAGAUCCUGGACUUUUGGGGGUUUACCCAUUACCUGCGCCAUCGUGCUCAGUGGGAUGCAGCAACCACACCUGAGUCUCCAGACAAGAUGGCCGCCAGCCCAGCGCCACAGCACAAGAUGGCCGCCAGCCCAGCGCCACAGCACAAGAUGGCCGCCAGCCCAGCGCCACAGCACAAGAUGGCCGCCAGCCCAGCGCCACAGCACAAGAUGGCCGCCAGCCCAGCGCCACAGCACAAGAUGGCCGCCAGCCCAGCGCCACAGCACAAGAUGGCCGCCAGCCCAGCGCCACAGCACAAGAUGGCCGCCAGCCCAGCGCCACAGCACAAGAUGGCCGCCAGCCCAGCGCCACAGCACAAGAUGGCCGCCAGCCCAGCGCCACAGCACAAGAUGGCCGCCAGCCCAGCGCCACAGCACAAGAUGGCCGCCAGCCCAGCGCCACAGCACAAGAUGGCCGCCAGCCCAGCGCCACAGCACAAGAUGGCCGCCAGCCCAGCGCCACAGCACAAGAUGGCGUGGUGGCCGAGGUGGUUCUCGAUGCAAUGUCCGUUGCCGAGGCGGUGCCUGAUGCCGAGGCGGUGCCUGAUGCCGAGGCGGUGCCUGAUGCCGAGGCGGUGCCUGAUGCCGAGGCGGUGCCUGAUGCCGAGGCGGUGCCUGAUGCCGAGGCGGUGCCUGAUGCCGAGGCGGUGCCUGAUGCCGAGGCGGUGCCUGAUGCCGAGGCGGUGCCUGAUGCCGAGGCGGUGCCUGAUGCCGAGGCGGUGCCUGAUGCCGAGGCCGAGGCGGUGCCCGAGGCUGUGCCCGAUGCCGAGGCGGUGCCCGAUGCCGUUCCCGAUGCCGAGGCAGUGCCCGAUGCCGUUCCGGAGGUCGAGAUGGUUCCUGAGGCCGAGGCGGUGGCCGAUGUCCAAAGCCGUUCCUGAGGCGGUGUCCAAUGCCGUGACCUGGCCAUCGCCACAGUCUGCUCCUCACUGGCUCCCCGAAUGGCAGGUUCCGUUCGGGCCACUCAAAUGGCGAAUUCCUCCCUGGCCGUCUGCACAACGAGAAUGGACUGAUCCACCGUGGCCACCUGAACUGCCUGGUCCCUCGUGGUCCCCUGAACUUUCGGGUCCACCAUGGCCCCCUGAUCUGACCGAGCCACCUGGGCUGCCAGGGGAGCCAUCGCUGCCGGUCCCAGUUCCCCUACACGGGCCUGGCCCGCCAUCCCUCCCCCUGUUCUGCCUCCACCAGUCCACCUCCCUCCUGGUCUCGUUGUUUUGUUUUUGGUGUUUUGUUCUGGGGAGCAUCUGUAAUGUCACAGUGUCUGGUCUGUGUAUCCCUGGGUGUCCACUAGAGGUCUCACUUCCCAUUAUCGUCACCCCACUUCAGAACUGCAUUUCCCAUAGUCUUGUCUGUUUCAUCACUGCUCAUUGCACUCAGCUGUCCCUGGUCAUUAAUCAUUGCACUCAGCCAAUUCCCCGUUAGUAUUGUAAUCACCUGUCUAUAUAUACCUGGUUUGUUUCUGUCUGUGUCACGGAGUCCUUGUUUAAUGUCACCCUGGUUUUGUGUUUCCUUGCUUUGUUCGUGUUUCUUGUUUUGGACUGAUUACCUGGAUUUUGACCGUUGCCUGGCUGGAUUAUGAGUUUUGGACUAUCCCAAUAAAACAUACUGCUAUUGGAUCUACCUGUUUGUG
ensembl:lncRNA